rnacentral:rRNA from 1 species
AACGCGAAGAACCUUACCUACUCUUGACAUCCGCGGAAUUUAGCAGAGAUGCUUUAGCGCCUUCGGGAACCGUGAGACAGGUGCUGCAUGGCUGUCGUCAGCUCGUGUUGUGAAAUGUUGGGUUAAGUCCCGCAACGAGCGCAACCCUUAUCCUUUGUUGCCAGCACGUAAUGGUGGGAACUCAAAGGAGACUGCCGGUGAUAAACCGGAGGAAGGUGGGGAUGACGUCAAGUCAUCAUGGCCCUUACGAGUAGGGCUGCACACGUGCUACAAUGGCAUAUACAAAGAGAAGCGAACUCGCGAGAGCAAGCGGACCUCAUAAAGUAUGUCGUAGUCCGGAUUGGAGUCUGCAACUCGACUCCAUGAAGUCGGAAUCGCUAGUAAUCGUAGAUCAGAAUGCUACGGUGAAUACGUUCCCGGGCCUUGUACACACCGCCCGU